GAUGAACGCUGGCGGCGUGCUUAACACAUGCAAGUCGAACGAAGCAUCUUAAGCUGAUUUCUUCGGAAUGAAGUUUUUGAUGACUGAGUGGCGGACGGGUGAGUAACGCGUGGGUAACCUGCCUCAUACAGGGGGAUAACAGUUAGAAAUGGCUGCUAAUACCGCAUAAGCGCACAGUGUCACAUGACACAGUGUGAAAAACUCCGGUGGUAUGAGAUGGACCCGCGUCUGAUUAGCUAGUUGGUAAGGUAACGGCCUACCAAGGCAACGAUCAGUAGCCGACCUGAGAGGGUGAUCGGCCACAUUGGGACUGAGACACGGCCCAAACUCCUACGGGAGGCAGCAGUGGGGAAUAUUGCACAAUGGGGGAAACCCUGAUGCAGCGACGCCGCGUGAAGGAAGACGUAUUUCGGUAUGUAAACUUCUAUCAGCAAGGAAGAUAAUGACGGUACUUGACUAAGAAGCCCCGGCUAACUACGUG
rnacentral:rRNA from 1 species